rnacentral:lncRNA from 1 species
GAGAGAAGAGACCUGAGCAACAAAAGCCCAUUUAUAUGGGUGUGAGGAACGUACAUCGGUUUGCCUAUCAAUGGGCGUGAAUGCUAGAUUGGUGAGCCUAUCCCGGGAUGUAUCAUCAGGAAGUUUGUGAGCGGCAUCGUUUCUGUUGCACUACUGUGGAAGAUCAAAAGGCAGCAAACUACCAAUGAAGACCAAAAUAUUAGGAACUGCAUAAGCUCCAUUACGAAGACUGGACGCAAGGGGUGGCGAGAAUGAUACUAGGCAAUUAUGAUAGCAAAACACUCUAACAUGAAUAUAAAGAUAUAGUUCCGUUUGGAUCGUGUAUUUUAAUCUCUGUUCUCUUCUUCAUAAGGUGGGCCCGGAAGAUAAAAACCCCGCCCUUUC